UAGGGAAUCUUCCACAAUGGACGAAAAGUCUGAUGGAGCAACGCCGCGUGAGUGAAGAAGGUUUUCGGAUCGUAAAGCUCUGUUGUUGGUGAAGAAGGAUAGAGGCAGUAACUGGCCUUUAUUUGACGGUAAUCAACCAGAAAGUCACGGCUAACUACGUGCCAGCAGCCGCGGUAAUACGUAGGUGGCAAGCGUUGUCCGGAUUUAUUGGGCGUAAAGCGAGCGCAGGCGGAAGAAUAAGUCUGAUGUGAAAGCCCUCGGCUUAACCGAGGAACUGCUCGGAAACGUUUUUCUUGAGUGCAGAAGAGGAGAGUGGAACUCCAUGUGUAGCGGUGGAAUGCGUAGAUAUAUGGAAGAACACCAGUGGCGAAGGCGACUCUCUGGUCUGCAACUGACGCUGAGGCCCCGAAAAGCUGGGUAGCGAACAGGAUUAGAUACCCUGGUAGUCCAUGCCGUAAACGAUGAGUGCUAAGUGUUGGGAG
rnacentral:rRNA from 1 species